GACGAACGCUGGCGGCGUGCUUAACACAUGCAAGUCGAACGGAAAGGCCCUGCUUUUGUGGGGUGCUCGAGUGGCGAACGGGUGAGUAACACGUGAGUAACCUUCCCUUGACUUUGGGAUAACUUCAGGAAACUGGGGCUAAUACCGGAUACGAGCUCCUGCUGCAUGGUGGGGGUUGGAAAGUUUCGGCGGUUGGGGAUGGACUCGCGGCUUAUCAGCUUGUUGGUGGGGUAGUGGCUUACCAAGGCUUUGACGGGUAGCCGGCCUGAGAGGGUGACCGGGGACAUGGGGACUGAGAUAGGGCCCAGAGUCGAACGGGAGGCAGAGGGGGGGAAUAUUGCACAAUGGGCGGAAGCCUGAUGCAGAAACGCCGCGUGCGGGAAGAAGGCCUGCGGGUUGUAAACCGCUUUAGCCUGUGACGAAGCGUGAGUGACGGUAAUGGGUAAAGAAGCACCGGCUAACUACGUG
rnacentral:rRNA from 1 species